AUGCUCUCCUUCGAGAGCCAGUUGCUCGCCAGUCGCUGCCUUCGUCCGAUCAUUCCCGCCUCCGCAGCCGGCUUCCCGUCGCCCGCUGCCGGUCUUCAUAUGCCAGACCAGUCUGAUGGCUUUUUGAGCGGUGGUCGUUUCACCGGCACCGUCUCGCACAUACACCUUCCGUCGGUGUUGGGUGCUCAUCUGCUAGUUGCAGUUCUCCGCUGCUCUCCCUCCUCCACAGCCUCUCCUGCAGACAUGAUGGCUCCUGUAUCAUUGUCUCGUGUCUGCUUCAUAGCUUCUAGCUUUCUAUUUUCCACUGUGUCCAGCAAGCUCUUCGGUGUUUCUCAUGUCAUGCGAGUCCACCAAACCCUUAUCUGCCGGAUUUUCGUGGCCUCCUGA
rnacentral:rRNA from 1 species